AAGUCGUAACAAGGUUUCCGUAGGUGAACCUGCGGAAGGAUCAUUACACACUGCGCCAUGCUUGCAGAUGUUCGCAUUUGCAGGUAUAGCCAGCUAACCCUUGUCUAUUUCUACCAUUUGUGAAUCCCUCGGCGGGGACGCCUGUCGCUGGGACCCUAAACUCUACUGUAUAAAAAGUAUCAAACCUUUCUGAACCUAAUUAAAAUUAUUACAACUUUCAACAAUGGAUCUCUUGGUUCUG
rnacentral:misc_RNA from 1 species